AUUGAACGCUGGCGGCAUGCCUUACACAUGCAAGUCGAACGGCAGUACGGGAGCAAUCCUGGUGGCGAGUGGCGAACGGGUGAGUAAAGUAUCGGAACGUGCCCAGUCGUGGGGGAUAACGUAGCGAAAGUUACGCUAAUACCGCAUACGAUCUAUGGAUGAAAGCGGGGGAUCGCAAGACCUCGCGCGAUUGGAGCGGCCGAUAUCAGAUUAGGUAGUUGGUGGGGUAAAGGCUCACCAAGCCGACGAUCUGUAGCUGGUCUGAGAGGACGACCAGCCACACUGGGACUGAGACACGGCCCAGACUCCGACGGGAGGCAGCAGUGGGGAAUUUUGGACAAUGGGCGCAAGCCUGAUCCAGCCAUGCCGCGUGCAGGGUGAAGGCCUUCGGGUUGUAAACUGCUUUUGUACGGAACGAAAAGGUUUGACUUAAUACGUUGGACUCAUGACGGUACCGUAAGAAUAAGCACCGGCUAACUACGUGCCAGCCGCCGCGGUAA
rnacentral:rRNA from 1 species